GGGCAGGAAAAAAUGUCUAUGUGCUGCUCUCCAAAAUUGGGCCAUAUAAAAUAUUUUUUGCAGACAUUAGUAAAACUGCUCCACAAAAAGAACUUGAAAGUGAGGUUAUUAAUGCAUACAUGUGUCUUCUUGUGAGGCGUUUCAAUGCACAGUCAAAAGAACAAGCAUUCCAAAUUGACUCAUUCGAAAUGACAGACAUUUGGAAUGGAAAAAAUUCGAAAUUAAAGGUCGAUCCCAGAUUGUACAGAUACCUCAUUAGCAUUGUGAAUGACCACUACCACUGGACAGUUGUGGGCUUUUAUGCGACAAAAGGGAUGCAAUUUUUCAAGGUGGUCCUGUGAUACGCUGCCUCACCCAAAACAACAAGAUGGCACAUCCUGCGGUGUCUUUGCUUUGAAAUUUGCCGAAUGUGUACUCCGAGAGGAGACAAUUGUUUUCCGUAACACACCAGAAGGAGUGGAAGAAUUGAGGAAAGCAAUAGCUGUCACUCUUCUCCAAAACAGCGAUGACCUGAGCCAGCUGUGCCAUCUCUGUGGGGAGGAAAGUGGUGAUAUUAACUGGAUUGCCUGUGACUGCUGCAGUCGGUGGUACCACCAAUCAUGUGUCCAGUGGACAUCAAAAGUGAACUUUCUGUGUCCUGCCUGUGAAAAUUAACCAGAUAUUGUAGCUUUCUUUUCUUUCAUUCAAACAAUGGAUGGUACUGUACCAGUGUACUUAUUUUCUGUUUUAAUGGAUGGUUCAUACAUUCAAAAGUUCUGUUAUUACCCCCAUGAACAACAAACCUGUCUGUACAAAUCAUAAUAAAUUUAACAGAAUAAAAUACUGCAUUGAAUAUUAUUACUUGUGUAGGUGCAUCACACCCAUGUUAGUGACUCUCUGUGUAUUCACACAGAAGAAAAUAAUGCCCAAAUAAUACCCUAAUAGAAUGUGUCACAUUUAACAUUUACAUUUAGUAAUUUAGCAGACGCUUUUAUCCAAAGCGACUUACAGAUGAGGGAAACAAUGGAAGCAAUUGGAACAACAUGAGGACAACAAAAAGCAUGAGUGCAAUAAAAAACUGGUCUCAUAUACUGUAGACUACCACAGUAUACAGAGCUAGAAUUUUUUUAAAAGAGUACAUACUAUAUUACAUAUGUAGGUUCAUCAGAUUCAUUUGAGCGACUUUUUGUGCAUUCACACAGAAGAAACGGGGGUAGAAUCCAGGCGUGUGGGUAAAAAUGAACCUGCUCAAAUAAUACCCCCCCCCAAAAUACUAAAGCUGUCCAUGUUUCUAGAAUAAUGUGUCACAUUUUACAUACAGCAUUACUUGUGUAUGUUCAUCAGAUCCAUGUGAGCUACUCUUUGUGUAUUCACACAGAAGAAACAGGGGGUAGAAUCCAGGCGUGUGGGUAAAAAUGAACCUGCUCAAAUAAUACCCCCCCCAAAAUACUAAAGCUG